CCUACGGGAGGCAGCAGUGAGGAAUAUUGGUCAAUGGACGAGAGUCUGAACCAGCCAAGUAGCGUGAAGGAUGACUGCCCUAUGUGUUGUACACUUCUUUUAUAAAGGAAUAAAACGAGGCACGUGUGCCUUUUUGCAUGUACUUUAUGAAUAAGCAUCGGCUAACUCCGUGCCAGCAGCCGCGGUAAUACGGAGGAUCCGAGCGUUAUCCGGAUUUAUUGGGUUUAAAGGGAGCGUAGAUGGGUUGUUAAGUCAGUUGUGAAAGUUUGCGGCUCAAACGUAAAAUUGCAAUUGAUACUGGCAGUCUUGAGUACAGUUGAGGUAGGCGGAAUUCGUGGUGUAGCGGUGAAAUGCUUAGAUAUCACGAAGAACCCCGAUUGCGAAGGCAGCUUACUAAACUGUGACUGACAUUGAUGCUCGAAAGUGUGGGUAUCAAACAGGAUUAGAUACCCUUGUAGUC
rnacentral:rRNA from 1 species